UGAUCAGGAAUCCAUGAUUUGUAGUAACAUUUUAAGCUUCAUUGUAUUCAAAGGGAAGAAGCUUCUAGCUGAAUAUUGUGAGUCCAAGCUGUUGCUAUGACAACCAGAACUGUUGUGUAACAAUGCUGCUGUUGAGCAUGUCCAGACUGAAGUGUCAGCUAUCUUCACUGACCAUGAGGCCAGUUAAGUCUGAUAUAAUGUUGUGUGGCAAUGUCUGUAAAAAGCUUAUGGAACAGCAAGUAGCAGCACUGCAAGUCUCAUGAGGAGGGCUGUCAGCUGCCAAUUAGGAUACAAAGAACAUCAUGGAAAGGAGUAUAUGUGAAACGAUGUCAGUGAUAAUCCAAGGAAUUGCUUGUGGAAACCAUUUAUCCUUAAAACCGAAACUUAUUGGAAGAUUUAUUCUUGCCUAUACAUCAUGAGAUUGCCAAAUGACUAAAAAUGAAAGUGACAACACUGAAGAAGUGACACUUGGCUACAAUGUAAAGCAGAGUGUUGAGUUCUGUGUGUCAAGGAUGGGGAUUCAAGUCACAGGACUUGUGGUCAAGUCAAACUUAUGUAGCACCAGUGACUCAACUUGGACUCAUGUUUUUCCCCCCAAAUGACUUGGACUUGACUUGCAAAU